GGGGCUGUAGCUCAGCUGGGAGAGCACCUGCCUUGCAAGCAGGGGGUCAGCGGUUCGAUCCCGCUCAGCUCCACCA
rnacentral:tRNA from 1 species